AUGUAUAGGUAUAACCCAGGGUCAUUUAAUUUCUUUUUAAGUGGGAUUCUUUUGGGACCAGGGAUGGUUUUUUUUUUUUUUUUUUUUUUUUUUUUUUUUUUUUUUUUUUUUUUUUUUUUUUUUUUUUUUUUUUUUUUUUUUUUUUUUAGAAAAAACACAAUGUGGGCCAUCUUCUCUGUGCCAAAGGAAACAUGUCUUUAGGUGAGGUCUAGCUCAUGGGUCACCAGUUAGCAGUUCUGGUUUACUUUCUAUAUAAACAGCCUCUCUUGGUGAUACGUUCAGUGCUAUUUGUCUUUACUAUAUUAUUAGACAGAAAAUUUCCAACAUCUUCCUAUGUAGAUGGUUCAGUUCAUUACUUUGUAUUAUAAACUAGGUGUUAUUUUUGCAGAGAAAGUUUUAGCUAACCUUUGGGCUAUGUAGAUGAUUAGGAAAAUAAUCAAUGCUUAUUAAGAACUUAUUUAUUUAGACAAAACAGAUCAAAACCUUGCUAUGCCAUGCUUUGUUGGAAAUGAGUGCUGUUGGCUGGUCCCAGCACAGUCUUUUGGUACAAUCCAAUUGACACCCCUCUACUUUCAGAGCACAGUACAUGACACAGCGGACAAGCAAACAUAAUUAAACACUGGCCCGGAUAGGGUUUUCCUUAAUUAGUUGUGAGUUUCUGUAAUGAAAAUACCUGGAGAUUUAUCUGACUUCAAAGUCCCAUUAAAGCUGUGCUGCUUUUGUUGCUUUGAAAAUUUGGGAGUUUAGGACUCCUCGCCUCAUGCUUCUUAAUGAUGAUAAUUAUAUGAUAUACUUAAAAGUGCUUUUGAUCUUGGCCUCUCAAAGCACUCAAGUGAGGCAUCAAUUCCCUCAACCCCACUCUGAGGCAGGCCUUCCUUGUUUAUGGGCAAUGUGUGCUGACAUGUGUGUCGCAGCCAUUGCUGCUUCUGAGAGUAUCUGCCAACAGCGCCAGUGAAAAUGCACAGUUACACAUCUCAACUCUCCAGCCUUCAUAUUAAUUUGUGGAAAUAAUUGUAACACCUCACACUUAUGUGGUGUUUCACAUGGCCCUUUAUCUCCUUUAAACAAUAACAAAAAUGUAUAGAAGAACCAAGUAACACAGCACCCACUGUUCCUAUAAAAAUAAGUAAUAGAACCUCUCUUAAUUUUUCUUUUCCUUUUUCUAACAGUUUCUCAAGGCAGCUGGCCAACCAGGUGACAGGUGAGUGGAAUAAAUCUUUCAGGCUGCAAGGAGCA
rnacentral:lncRNA from 13 species